rnacentral:rRNA from 1 species
GUAGGGGGCAAGCGUUGUCCGGAUUUACUGGGCGUAAAGCGCGUGUAGGCGGCCGCGCAGGUCCGUUGUGAAAACUGGAGGCUCAACUUCCAGACGUCGAUGGAAACCGUGUGGCUAGAGUCCGGAAGAGGAGAGUGGAAUUUCUGGUGUAGCGGUGAAAUGCGCAGAUAUCAGGAAGAACACCAAUGGCGAAGGCAGCUCUCUGGGACGGUACUGACGCUGAGACGCGAAAGCGUGGGGAGCGAACAGGAUUAGAUACCCUGGUAGUCCACGCCGUAAACGAUGGGUGCUAGGUGUGGGAGGUGUCGACUCCUUCCGUGCCGUAGCUAACGCAUUAAGCACCCCGCCUGGGGAGUACGGCCGCAAGGCUAAA